UACAGAGGGGGCAAGCGUUGUUCGGAAUUACUGGGCGUAAAGGGCGCGUAGGCGGCCUCUUAAGUCGAACGUGAAAUCCCCGGGCUCAACCCGGGAACUGCGUCCGAUACUGGGAGGCUUGAAUCCGGGAGAGGGAUGUGGAAUUCCAGGUGUAGCGGUGAAAUACGUAGAUAUCUGGAGGAACACCGGUGGCGAAGGCGGCAUCCUGGACCGGUAUUGACGCUGAGGCGCGAAAGCUAGGGGAGCAAACGGG
rnacentral:rRNA from 1 species